GAACUGUUAACCCUGAAGGAAUGCAAAAUAGUUGGUUCAUUGAGAGGCUUCUAUGAGCCAUGUUUUCCACCAUAAUUUCAUGCUUGAAGACCGUCAAUCUAAUGGACAUCUCGAUUUCCGUGAUUGGUUGUCUGGGAUCCGUGCACAUGUCUGUUGACCACCACACCACCGUUUGGAUGGGCCCUUGGCUGACGGACAAUGGACAACGACGGUGGCGCUCUAUCCAGACUGAGAUGCUUUCUGCUUUCUUCGUUCCCUGCUGGAUUCGAGAGAGUCGAGUGGUCAGUGGUCACCUCAUCGGAACGAUGGUGGCCAAGGGUGUCUGGUCAUCUUCGGCUGAUGCCUCACGUCAGGCGACAUCAUCCGACCCCAUCGAUGAUAUCAUCAUGGACCAGAUGAAUGAAGAGCUUCGUGAUUUGACGCUGGCUGAGAGCUUCGCUCGAGCGACCAAGACUGUGAGGAAAGUGAUGCGUGAGCCAAUGUCCGACGCAUUGCGGGGAGGGAUAAGUGGUCAGGGAUGUUGAGUUAAAAACGCUGUUUAGGUGGGAUUGCAGAGUGUUAAAUCAGAUAGAAUAAACGUGAUUUGAGUUCAGUGAUCGGACGGGAACUGAUAUUUUCAGGAUGGUAUGCUCGUUGCCUUGUAUAAAGCUAUGGGCGCAAAAUGACCUUGUAGUCGGCGCGCCCUUAAGCCCCAAUAAACAAACAAAACGUGAUUUUAGGGAUGUAACCGUCAUAGGCGUAAUGUUAAAACUCGGGUCUUUGGGGAGGGGGACGGGCUUAGGGGGGGGGGGGAUCAUGGCCCUAAACGCCCCCCCCCCUGGAUCCACCAGUGGCGCUGUGCAUGGUUGUAAAUGCAUUAGCACUUAGCGAAGGUGCGGCUACAGCAAGAGGACGGUCGCUCUCAAGAUUGGGCGGAUGCGCAGACUGUUGAUGCGGGAUCUUGCGUGGUGGGACUAACGGGCAUUUGCUUGUUGAUUUAUGAUUUUGUGUUUGCCGCCGGCGAAACGGGGCAAAUGGCAUGUGGUGAGAAGGAACGCUACCGGAUGAACAACUCCUCCGCGUGCUGAGGGUCUUCUCUCGGCGCUGGUCUGGGCUAGUCCAUUUUCAGACAAAGGGGAGGUAAUUGGGAGUGUUUCCCUGAACGGGAAGGCUCCGCUGACUCUGCCUCUGCAGUUUGUAUUAUUUUUUGUGGUAAUGAAAUAUAUGUAACUGCGCAUAA